rnacentral:lncRNA from 1 species
AUUCAGUUCGAAAGGUAAAAAUCGAAUCGGUCAUUUUUUAAGGACCAAUUGUUUUGCAUUCGAUUCGGUUCAAAAAUUGAACCGAACAGAUAGACCAAUCGGUUCUUUCAUUUAAAAUUAAAAAAAAUUAGAAAUUCAAAAUUAUAAAUAAGUAUGUUUCUAACCCUAGAAAUUGUAGUUUUCAUUUCAUCUCUCUCACUCGUCUUGGGUCUCUGUCGGCAAUCGGCUCGCACACACCACCGCCAUUUCCAUUUUCCACUGUCGUCACUCAUGCACCAUUAAUUCCACCACUGGCAAUCAUUUGACUUAGAUAGUUCGCAACAACGAUGGAGAUUCAUCCAACUCGUCACCUCAAUCUGUCGCCAGCCAUUGUUGUCGUAGCCUAACUCAGCCAUUGUUGACGUGCUAGAGAUAGUGAGUUGUGUUGACUAUGUUUUUCUAUUUAUUGUUCCUUCAAUUGAGUUUGGCUUAAUAGACUAGGGUUUAAAUUUAAUUUUUGUAGCAAUUUUUUUUCAGUAGCGUUGAAUGUGUUUUUAUUUAUUUAUCUUUUUUCCUUAAUUAAUUUUUUUUUUAUUUUGGAUUAAUAGAUUAGUGUUUAAUUUUUGUAGCAGUUUUU